rnacentral:rRNA from 1 species
GAUGAACGCUGGCGGCGUGCCUAAUACAUGCAAGUCGAGCGAACAGACGAGGAGCUUGCUCCUCUGACGUUAGCGGCGGACGGGUGAGUAACACGUGGAUAACCUACCUAUAAGACUGGGAUAACUUCGGGAAACCGGAGCUAAUACCGGAUAAUAUAUUGAACCGCAUGGUUCAAUAGUGAAAGACGGUUUUGCUGUCACUUAUAGAUGGAUCCGCGCCGCAUUAGCUAGUUGGUAAGGUAACGGCUUACCAAGGCAACGAUGCGUAGCCGACCUGAGAGGGGGAUCGGCCACACUGGAACUGAGACACGGUCCAGACUCCUACGGGAGGCAGCAGUAGGGAAUCUUCCGCAAUGGGCGAAAGCCUGACGGAGCAACGCCGCGUGAGUGAUGAAGGUCUUCGGAUCGUAAAACGCUGUUAUUAGGGAAGAACAAAUGUGUAAGUAACGAUGCACGUCUUGACGGUACCAAAUCAGAAAGCCACGGCUAACUACGU